rnacentral:rRNA from 1 species
CCUACGGGUGGCAGCAGUAGGGAAUAUUGCUCAAUGGGGGAAACCCUGACGCAGCAACGCCGCGUGGAGGAUGAAGGUUUUCGGGUUGUAAACUCCUUUUGUUAGGGAAGAUAAUGACGGUAUCUAACGAAUAAGCACCGGCUAACUCCGUGCCAGCAGCCGCGGUAAUACGGAGGGUGCAAGCGUUAUUCGGAAUCACUGGGCGUAAAGAGCGCGUAGGCGGGAUGGCAAGUCAGAUGUGAAAUCCUAUGGCUCAACCCUAGAACUGCAUUUGAAACUGUUUUUCUAGAGUAUCGGAGAGGUAGGUGGAAUUCUUGGUGUAGCGGUGAAAUGCGUAGAGAUCAAGAGGAACACUCGUGGCGAAGGCGGCCUGCUAGACCAUAACUGACGCUGAGGCGCGAAAGCGUGGGGAGCAAACAGGAUUAGAUACCCUUGUAGUC